GAUGAACGCUGGCGGCGUGCCUAAUACAUGCAAGUCGAGCGAACGGACGAGAAGCUUGCUUCUCUGAUGUUAGCGGCGGACGGGUGAGUAACACGUGGAUAACCUACCUAUAAGACUGGGAUAACUUCGGGAAACCGGAGCUAAUACCGGAUGAUAUUUUGAACCGCAUGGUUCAAAAGUGAAAGACGGUCUUGCUGUCACUUAUAGAUGGAUCCGCGCUGCAUUAGCUAGUUGGUAAGGUAACGGCUUACCAAGGCAACGAUGCAUAGCCGACCUGAGAGGGUGAUCGGCCACACUGGAACUGAGACACGGUCCAGACUCCUACGGGAGGCAGCAGUAGGGAAUCUUCCACAAUGGGCGAAAGCCUGACGGAGCAACGCCGCGUGAGUGAUGAAGGUCUUCGGAUCGUAAAACUCUGUUAUUAGGGAAGAACAUAUGUGUAAGUAACUGUGCACAUCUUGACGGUACCUAAUCAGAAAGCCACGGCUAACUGCGUG
rnacentral:rRNA from 1 species